rnacentral:rRNA from 1 species
ACCAGACGAUGCGGUUACCGCGGCUGCUGGCACGGAGUUAGCCGGUGCUUCUUCUGUGAGUGAUGUCCUUCCUGCCGGUUAUUGACCCGCAGGCCUUCUUCCUCACUGAAAGUGCUUUACAACCCGAAGGCCUUCUUCACACACGCGGCAUGGCUGGAUCAGGGUUGCCCCCAUUGUCCAAUAUUCCCCACUGCUGCCUCCCGUAGGAGUCUGGGCCGUGUCUCAGUCCCAGUGUGGCUGAUCAUCCUCUCAGACCAGCUACGGAUCGUCGCCUUGGUGAGCCGUUACCUCACCAACCAGCUAAUCCGACAUAGGCUCAUCCGAUAGCGCGAGGCCCGAAGGUCCCCCGCUUUCCCCCGUAGGGCGUAUGCGGUAUUAGCCUGGGUUUCCCCAGGUUAUCCCCACUACCGGGCAGAUUCCUAUGCAUUACUCACCCGUCCGCCGCUCGCCACCAGGGAGCAAGCUCCCCGUGCUGCCGCUCGACUUGCAUGUGUUAGGCCUGCCGCCAGCGUUCAAUCU